CUCCUUUACUGACGCAGCCCCAGGUCCUGGAUAGCUGGGUGAUGAACAGGAUGAACAACGGAUGGGUGUCGGAGGAAGGAGCCACGCCUGGGGGCUAAUCACAGCAACACGCAUAGCAACACCCUGUCUGCGGGCGCCUCCCCACCCAAGCCCUGCUCUUCAGGCCUGCCCACUCCUGGCUUUGGCUGUAAAGUCCCCAUUUGGGGGAGGCUGUCAUGUUCCUGCCUGCCUGCCUGCCUGCCUGGACAAGCAUCCAGUAAAGAGGAUUCCAGAGAUUCUGGAGCCAGCAAGAAGGAAAGGAAGGCGCUGGUAAUCUCUUGCAAGAAGAUCCUCUGAGAACACAGCCCUUAUCUGAGCAGAUAAGAAAGAUUUUGCCCACCCCUGGCUCAAACAUUAUGGGAGACUUACUACCUCAUCUGAUGAAUGCUCAGAAGGAAAAGUGGUGUGUGAUAUCU